AUUGAACGCUGGCGGCAUGCUUUACACAUGCAAGUCGAACGGUAACAGGCCGCAAGGUGCUGACGAGUGGCGAACGGGUGAGUAAUGCAUCGGAACGUGCCCAGUCGUGGGGGAUAACGCAGCGAAAGCUGCGCUAAUACCGCAUACGAUCUAUGGAUGAAAGCGGGGGACCGUAAGGCCUCGCGCGAUUGGAGCGGCCGAUGUCAGAUUAGGUAGUUGGUGGGGUAAAGGCUCACCAAGCCCACGAUCUGUAGCUGGUCGGAGAGGACGACCAGCCACACUGGGACUGAGACACGGCCCAGACUCCUACGGGAGGCAGCAGUGGGGAAUUUUGGACAAUGGGCGCAAGCCUGAUCCAGCAAUGCCGCGUGCAGGAAGAAGGCCUUCGGGUUGUAAACUGCUUUUGUCAGGGAAGAAAUCUUCUGGGUUAAUACCUCGGGAGGAUGACGGUACCUGAAGAAUAAGCACCGGCUAACUACGUGCCAGCAGCCGCCGCUGUAA
rnacentral:rRNA from 1 species